UAUGUGAAAACCGAGACUCCGCAGGCUCCCUCCUGGAGACCUAGCUCUCAGUUUGCCUUCUGCCCUAUGGUUUGUGGGUGGAGCUAAUGGAAAAGACACCUGGGAAGUGGACAGAAAGAAGACGUCACUGCCAGAAUACAAGACACCUUGACCAGGAUAAAUACAGACAGACUUAGGUCCCUGCCACCCCUUGGGAGAUCGUUCAGGACACCCCGUUUGAAGCCCUAAAUUCUGACAUGUUGGAUUGGUUACAAGACCGCCUCUUCCGAGAGGCAGAAGUGAGUUUCACUCCCACCCACGCUCAGGAUGUUAAGACAUUUGCAGAAUGAUUUGUUCUGGACCAGGGGAGAACACUCAUGUGAAAGCAUGCCAUGUCUCUUCCUCCAGUGGUCCCUCCUGCCUCCUGUCAGGCCACACCUGUGUCUCCUCACUCACAAUCAGGUGCCCCUCAGUGGCCUGAAUACCAGAGUGGCUUCUGCAAGAAAAAUGAGACAGAGAAGCAGACAGAGGUCAACAGGCUGAGAUGACUUUGUGGGAGCAGCAAGGGAUCCCUACUCCCUCCCACCCGCAUGAAAGCUGAGUAUAUUCAGAGGGCUGGGGGAAUAUGUGCGUAUACAUGGGGGAUAUGUGCAUGCAUAUACAUGGGUAGCUACCAGAAGUUACAGCUCUGUGUAGGUGUGUGUGUGUGUGUGUGUGUGUGGAGGGGGUUGACUGGGAGCAAGGUAGUUUGUUGUUUGUUUGAUUGCUUGUUUUAGAUAAUUGGACAUAUUAUAUCUGUAGGUGGAAUACAGUGGUCAGGCUAAACCAUUCUUUAUGGCUAUGGGCUAUGCCCAGUACAACCUGACUCACUUCAUCAUGACUUGAGUCUAUUACCCAACGGCUUCUACCACCUUCCAAUGGAAACUAUCCAACAGCUUAUCGCCCAGUGGUUAUUGUUGUGUUUAUAAAAAGAUAAAGAGAGGGGAGAGAUGUUCUAUGGAGGUGUGGUCAGGCAUGGGGGAAGGGAGUACCUUGGUGGGUCCAUGCUGAGGCAUCCCUUCCCCAUGAGGGACCAGCCACAUGACAACGGUAUAGUAUAGAAUAGAGUUUAUUCAGGGCAUGGGAGGGGAGUUAAGAGGGUAGUAGAGGCAGAAAGGCAG
rnacentral:lncRNA from 1 species